rnacentral:rRNA from 1 species
AUGAACGCUGGCGGCGUGCCUAAUACAUGCAAGUCGAGCGAACAGACGAGGAGCUUGCUCCUCUGACGUUAGCGGCGGACGGGUGAGUAACACGUGGAUAACCUACCUAUAAGACUGGGAUAACUUCGGGAAACCGGAGCUAAUCCCGGAUAAUAUAUUGAACCGCAUGGUUCAAUAGUGAAAGACGGUUUUGCUGUCACUUAUAGAUGGAUCCGCGCCGCAUUAGCUAGUUGGUAAGGUAACGGCUUACCAAGGCGACGAUGCGUAGCCGACCUGAGAGGGUGAUCGGCCACACUGGAACUGAGACACGGUCCAGACUCCUACGGGAGGCAGCAGUAGGGAAUCUUCCGCAAUGGGCGAAAGCCUGACGGAGCAACGCCGCGUGAGUGAUGAAGGUCUUCGGAUCGUAAAACUCUGUUAUUAGGGAAGAGCAAAUGUGUAAGUAACUAUGCACGUCUUGACGGUACCUAAUCAGAAAGCCACGGCUAACUACGUG